rnacentral:rRNA from 1 species
UACGGGGGGAGCAAGCGUUGUUCGGAUUUACUGGGCGUAAAGGGCGCGUAGGCGGCCACCGCAAGUCGAUUGUGAAAUCUCCGGGCUUAACCCGGAAAGGUCAACCGAUACUGCGGGGCUAGAGUGCGGAAGGGGGCAACUGGAAUUCCAGGUGUAGCGGUGAAAGUGCGUAGAUAUCUGGAGGAACACCGGUGGCGAAGGCGGCAUUCUGGACCGAUAUUGACGCUGAGGAGCGAAAGCCAGGGGAGCAAACGGG